UACGUAGGGUGCGAGCGUUGUCCGGAAUUAUUGGGCGUAAAGAGCUCGUAGGCGGUUUGUUGCGUCUAUCGUGAAAACCUGCAGCUUAACUGUGGGCUUGCGGUGGAUACGGGCAGACUUGAGUUCGGUAGGGGAGACUGGAAUUCCUGGUGUAGCGGUGAAAUGCGCAGAUAUCGGGAGGAACACCAAUGGCGAAGGCAGCUCGCUGGGACGUGACUGACGCUGAGACGCGAAAGCGUGGGGAGCAAACAGG
rnacentral:rRNA from 1 species